rfam:Bacteroides sp. CAG:545 genomic scaffold, scf34
GGAAGCGUGUCCGAGUGGCUGAAGGAGGCUGCCUCGAAAACAGUUGACCGCCCUUAAGCGGUUCGCAGGUUCGAAUCCUGCCGCUUCCG